CCACAAUGGACGAAAGUCUGAUGGAGCGACGCCGCGUGGUUGAUGAAGUCCUUCGGGACGUAAAGACCUUUUAUGAGGGAGGAAGUAAUUGACGUUAUCUCAUGAAUAAGGGGCUCCUAACUCUGUGCCAGCAGGAGCGGUAAUACAGAGGCCCCAAGCAUUAUCCGGAAUCACUGGGCGUAAAGGGUGUGUAGGCGGUUGUAUUAGUCCUUGUGAAAGCUCUCGGGCCUAACCCGGGAAACGCGGUGGAACGGUACAACUACGAGGAUGCGAGAGGUAUAUGGAACUCAUGGUGUAGGGGUGAAAUCCGUUGAUAUCAUGGGAACACCAAAUGCGAAGGC
rnacentral:rRNA from 1 species